rnacentral:tRNA from 1 species
GCACUGGUGGUUCAGUGGUAAAAUUUUUGCCUCUGAUGCAGGAGACUCAGAUUCAAUUCCCGACCUAUGCG